UACGUAGGUGGCAAGCGUUAUCCGGAUUUACUGGGUGUAAAGGGAGCGUAGGCGGCAGGGCAAGCCUGAUGUGAAAGCCCGGGGCUCAACCCCGGGACUGCAUUGGGAACUGCCCUGCUGGAGUGCCGGAGGGGCAGGCGGAAUUCCUAGUGUAGCGGUGAAAUGCGUAGAUAUUAGGAGGAACACCAGUGGCGAAGGCGGCCUGCUGGACGGUGACUGACGCUGAGGCUCGAAAGCGUGGGGAGCAAACAGG
rnacentral:rRNA from 1 species